rnacentral:misc_RNA from 1 species
GUGAAGAACGUAGUGAAAUGCGAUAAGUAAUGUGAAUUGCAGAAUUCAGUGAAUCAUCGAAUCUUUGAACGCACAUUGCGCCCCCUGGUAUUCCGGGGGGCAUGCCUGUCCGAGCGUCAUUACAACCCUCAAGCUCAGCUUGGUGUUGGGCCCCGCCGCCCCGGCGGGCCCUAAAGUCAGUGGCGGUGCCGUCCGGCUCCGAGCGUAGUAAUUCUUCUCGCUCUGGAGGUCCGGUCGUGUGCUCGCCAGCAACCCCCAAUUUUUUUCAGGUUGACCUCGGAUCAGGUAGGGAUACCCGCUGAACUUAAGCAUAUCAAUAAGCGGAGGA